rnacentral:rRNA from 1 species
UACGAAGGGGGCUAGCGUUGCUCGGAAUCACUGGGCGUAAAGGGUGCGUAGGCGGGUUUUUAAGUCAGGGGGGAAAUCCUGGAGCUCAACUCCAGAACUGCCUUUGAUACUGAGGAGCUUGAGUCCGGGAGAGGUGAGUGGAACUGCGAGUGUAGAGGUGAAAUUCGUAGAUAUUCGCAAGAACACCAGUGGCGAAGGCGGCUCACUGGCCCGGUACUGACGCUGAGGUGCGAAAGCGUGGGGAGCAAACAGG